rnacentral:rRNA from 1 species
UACGGAGGGAGCCAGCGUUGUUCGGAAUUACUGGGCGUAAAGCGCACGUAGGCGGCUUUGUAAGUUAGAGGUGAAAGCCCGGAGCUCAACUCCGGAACUGCCUUUAAGACUGCAUCGCUUGAAUCCAGGAGAGGUGAGUGGAAUUCCGAGUGUAGAGGUGAAAUUCGUAGAUAUUCGGAAGAACACCAGUGGCGAAGGCGGCUCACUGGACUGGUAUUGACGCUGAGGUGCGAAAGCGUGGGGAGCAAACAGG